rnacentral:lncRNA from 1 species
CAUAUACUGUUUUGCUUUCUUUCCUUGUUGUGCAGAUGAAGAUCGGGACUGGGAUUCGGGGCUGCGGCGCUUGAGGAUUUCCCUAGAACCCCUAGGGUUUCUGACUAUCGUUUUUGGCAUUUGGGCCACAUAUAAUUGGGCCACUGUUCUUUAACCGAAAUUGGGUUUGGGGUUUGGGCUCUCUUUGUUGUAAUUGAACUGUUUUAUUUGGGCCUCUGUUGUAUUUUAGAUUUGGGCCAUUUAGGCCAAUUGUAAUUUGGGCCCUUUUAAGCCCGGGCAAAAAUCUGGCAUGUACAUAUUGCAUAAGAAAAAAUG